UCCUGGUUUCCCAGGCAGUCUCAUCAGAGUGCUUCCUCACGGAAUGGCAACUGACGACAGGAGUUGCGCUCGUUAAAGGACUUAACCCAACAUCUCACGACACGAGCUGACGACAGCCAUGCAGCACCUGUAUAAUUGUCCAGGCUUACGCCUGGAAAGCUACAUCUCUGUAGCGAUCAAAAAUAUGUCAAGCCUAGGUAAGGUUCCUCGCGUAGUGUCGAAUUAAACCACAUGUUCCACCGCUUGUGCGGACCCCCGUCAAUUCCUUUGAGUUUUAAUCUUGCGACCGUACUCCCCAGGCGGAUCACUUAUCGCGUUAGCUACGACACUAAUCUCGCAGAGCGAGUUUAACGUCUAGUGAUCAUCGUUUACGGCGUGGACUAC
rnacentral:misc_RNA from 1 species